ACUUACAAGCUAGCCCUCUCAUGCAAACCCAACAACCCAAUAUAACUACCCCCUCAUGACCAACAAAACAAACAAACAAAUCAUUUUUCCUCCCUAGUAUAGGCGAUAGAAAAGGAACCAAGGCGCAAUAGACAAAGUACCGCAAGGGAAAGCUGAAAGAGAAAUGAAAGAACCCAAUUAAGAAAAGAAAAGCAAAGAUGUAAUCUUGUACCUUUGCCAUCAU
rnacentral:rRNA from 1 species